UACGGAGGGUGCAAGCGUUAAUCGGAAUUACUGGGCGUAAAGCGCGCGUAGGCGGAUUAUUAAGUCAGAUGUGAAAGCCCAGGGCUUAACCUUGGAACUGCAUUUGAUACUGGUAAUCUUGAGUACAGUAGAGGGAGGUGGAAUUUCAGGUGUAGCGGUGAAAUGCGUAGAUAUCUGAAGGAACAUCAGUGGCGAAGGCGACCUUCUGGACUGAUACUGACGCUGAGGUGCGAAAGCGUGGGGAGCAAACAGG
rnacentral:rRNA from 1 species